rnacentral:lncRNA from 1 species
CAGCAGCAGCAGCAGCUGAAGAAUCCCCCUUAUGAUAUGGAGGCAACACGCGUUGACGUGUCGCGCUGCGCUUCCGACCACUAGUAUCGGUAUGCGUCUGGUUGUGUGCACACACGCACAACGCUCUCAUGGGGACAUGCGGCCAGCAGACGCAGCCACGGGCUCCCGUCGGGUCUUCCAACAGAACUUCUGCUCAGAAAAAAAAAUGUCCGUCAGUGUCCAUCUGUGGAGCAGGCUGCCAUGUUGUUUUCAGCGUGGGAGCAGAGUGACUGUAAACCUCUGAAAGAAGGAGCAGAGGGUGGAAAAUGAGUUUCAUUCCUGCAUGCAUUUAAAUAUGUAAAUGUCUUUUUAAGCUGUUGGUAACUGACCUGAUCUUCAGACGUAAUGCUUUAAAUUAGUUCAGCAGGCUAUAAUGCUGUAUUUAAAGAAAUAAUACAGUGUAUUUUGAUAGGAGUCAACACAGGAAAUGCAUCAAUAGGUGUGAAAUAGAAUCAAAUAUUAGUGCUGUAGGGUGUCCGAGAGAGCUUCAGGCGCACUGGAAGACCUCCUGUUGUGAGCACUAACGGGCACAUCCUCGCCAGCGCUGCGUACAGCUGACUCCAGCUAACAACCUUUUCACACAAGAUGCAGACACAGGAAAUUGGCAGGUGAAAAAGGGCCUGCACUGUAUUGUUAGGAUCCGUUUCCUUGUACAUGUGCAUUAUUGUAUCAGACACAGUCAACACUAUUGUCAGGUUGUAUACUUCACCUGUCCGCUACCAGCAGUGACCCCAGCAGGAAGUUGUCUUCCUCCUCGUCAUUUCCUAUCGCUGGCUCCUGCCGGAGCCCAGGAGCCACGGGGGUGGGCGCCCAGCGGUUGCUCAGUAGUCAGUGUAGAUCCUGUGGGGCUGGCAGCAGCUACAUCUGGCUACUGGGUCUCUGCUGACAUGCCAUGUUAUUCACAAUAUACCUGCUUUCAAUGGUUCAGUUAGGUUAGGAAUUCCUUUCUGAUGAGAUUAGUGUAUUAUUUCCUAC